GACGAACGCUGGCGGCGUGCUUAACACAUGCAAGUCGAACGGAAGGCCCUGCUUUUGUGGGGUGCUCGAGUGGCGAACGGGUGAGUAACACGUGAGUAACCUGCCCUUGACUUUGGGAUAACUUCAGGAAACUGGGGCUAAUACCGGAUAGGAGCUCCUGCUGCAUGGUGGGGGUUGGAAAGUUUCGGCGGUUGGGGAUGGACUCUCGGCUUAUCAGCUUGUUGGUGGGGUAGUGGCUUACCAAGGCUUUGACGGGUAGCCGGCCUGAGAGGGUGACCGGCCACAUUGGGACUGAGAUACGGCCCAGACUCCUACGGGAGGCAGCAGUGGGGAAUAUUGCACAAUGGGCGGAGGCCUGAUGCAGCAACGCCGCGUGCGGGAUGACGGCCUUCGGGUUGUAAACCGCUUUCGCCUGUGACGAAGCGUGAGUGACGGUAAUGGGUAAAGAAGCACCGGCUAACUACGUG
rnacentral:rRNA from 1 species